ensembl:lncRNA
GGGGGAGGAGAUGGAGGAGAGUUGGGGGGCAGGAGGGGCAGGAGGGGCAGGAUGGUCGGGUUAGCAGAAGGGUCAGGAGAAGGAGGAGGGUCAGGAGGGUCAGGGGGAUGAGGUCAAAAGGGUCAGGAGGGGGACGAGGGUCCGGAGAGUCAAAAGAGGGAAGAGGGUCAGGAGAGGGAGGAGGGUCGGGGAGCAGAAGGAGAAGGAGGGGGCAGAGGUGCAGGAGAUUCAGGAGGGUCGUGUGGGCAUGAGGGUUGGUAAGGGGAGGAUGGGUAGGUGGGGGAGGAGGGGCAGGAGGGGGAGGGUCUUAGGGCACAGAUUCACAGUCCACCCACGCCAUCGAGCCUCUCUUUCAGUCAUGUAGAAAGGUGUAGUGACUUGGACAUGCAUCCCAAAUGGCACCCUAUUCCCUCUAUAGUAAACUACUUUUGACCAGAGUCGUAUGGCCCCUGUAGUAGUAGUAGUAGUAGUGCACUAGUCCUAUGGCCGCUGUAGUAGUGCACUAGUCCUGCAGCCCCUGUAGUAGUGCACAGUAGUUGAGGUCAGGAGGGUAGGAAGGGAAUUUUUAGUGGGCAGCUUUAGAAAUACCAUGUGUCACUGGGUCGUCAGGUUGUACUGUAUUUUCUAAGAUGUUUGAUUCCCAGCCAUUCAUACUGUAGGAGGGAGUAGACUCAUUAUAGUGCUUACAAGAUGCAUUCAUGUCUCUCUUCAAAUGUGCAGAAUGUAAGGCAGGAAAAAUAUAAUAAUGACAACAAUAGCGAAAUAUGAAAGUAUCAGUUAGUGCCACAAUAAAGAUUCCUAAAGUGCUGUGAUGUGACCUAGCGACAGCUACUGUCACGCCCUGACCUUAGAGAGCCUUUUUAUUUCUCUAUUUGGUUAGGUCGGGGUGUGAUUUGGGUGGGCAUUCUAGUUUUUCUAUUUCUUUGUUGGCCGGGUAUGGUUCCCAAUCAGAGGCAGCUGUCUAUCGUUGUCUCUGAUUGGGGAUCAUACUUAGGCAGCAUUUUUUCCACCUUUAAUUUGUGGGAUUUUGUUUGUGUGUAGUUGCUUUCUGCACGGCAUGUAGCUUUACGUUUGUUUUUGUAUUUUUUUUUUUUUUUCGGUGUCAUUUAAAUAAAAGUAAAAUGUAUGCCUACCACACUGCACCUUGGUCCAAUCCAUCUUUAAACAAACGUGACAGCUAUUCUAUUUGGACCAUAGUAUGUGAGCGGAGCGGCGCUGGAGCGAGGAGCAAAAGGUGCCCAAUUUGACUGGAGUACAGAGUGAGAUUCCUAAAAAGGCAAUUUCGCUCCAGUAGCUCUCACUCGAGCUCAGGCCAGCCCAUCCCAGCAUGCACUUCUAGUCUACUUGUGUGCUGCUAAUAGCCCCUUGCUUUAGCUACUGUCAUGGAGUUCACUAUAUAUUUUCAUAAAGAAACUGAUAAAACACACAGAUGCAACAUCAAGGUGACUUUCAAA